rnacentral:misc_RNA from 1 species
UAAAGUGCGAAAAGUGAUGCGAUUUGCACGAACCUGUGAGUCAUCAAGUCUUUGAACGCAAAUGGCGCUCCUCUGCGAGGGGGAGCAUGUCUAUUAGAGGAUUCGUAUAACGUUUAGACUCGGAUGUAGUCUAGUCUUUGGGGGGUCUAGCCUGCUAGCCACCAUGAAUUGAGAAUUGUAGCGUUAUGCUGACAAGCUAAGAGAUAUUACCAAUAUCAAUUGUACUGUCAAUAAUGCGCGACGUCAUCUGAUAGGGUUGAUAGCGUUAAUAAUAUAACGCUAUUUAACGACUAUUAGCAAUCGACAAUCUAUCUACUGGGAUCUCUAAUUAGACAAGAUUACCCGCUGAACUUAA